UACGUAGGGGGCAAGCGUUGUCCGGACUUACUGGGCGUAAAGCGCGUGCAGGCGGGCCGCUAUGUGCCGUGUGAAAGCUCUCAGCUUAUCUGGGAGAGGUCGCGGUAGACAGGCAGCCUGGAGGCUCGGAGAGGUCAGUGGAAUUCUCGGUGUAGUGGUGAAAUACGUAGAGAUUGGGAAGAACACCAGUGGCGAAGGCGGCUAUCUGGACGGUUUCUGACGCUAAGACGCGAAAGCGUGGGGAGCAAACAGG
rnacentral:rRNA from 1 species